UCAAAUGAAGUAUAUGCUAUACCAUUAGAUGAAGGUUUUCUUCUUUACGGGAUGGAGGCCAUAUGAUAAUUGUGACAAAGAAGAAGACAAAAAUCUAGAGGUCACAAUAGAUAGCAUCUAAUAUUCCAAGAAGCAUAAUACUUAUGCUCUGAUAAUUUUUGAAGGAAUGAAAUGUUAUGUUUGACAUAAUGGAAUAAGAGGAGAGAAGAGGAAGUCAAUUGUCUUGAACGGUUAUAGAUUUAUGUCUCCACAGUGUAAUAUACAAAUAAAGUUGGAAGAGGAAGAGUGCCAUUGGAAAAUUGCAUGUUGCUAUUCGGUCGAUAAAACCAUAGUUGUUGGAUCAAGAGAUGCAAACUUUGUCACUAAGAUCUGUAUCACUGUCCUAUAGAAUGCUCCUUUUAAUGUCAUGAAGUGGAGAAUUAAAAAUGUUGUUAGUUGGAGUCAGAAUUAUGCAGAAGAAUUAUAUUCGUAAAUUACAUCAAUUUUUCUAUUGUUUAUUACAACAAGACCAUUUAUUAUUAUUUUUUCAUGUUAAGGAGAGAUAAUUUAUCA